rnacentral:rRNA from 1 species
AUUGAACGCUGGCGGCAUGCUUUACACAUGCAAGUCGAACGGUAACAGGCCGCAAGGUGCUGACGAGUGGCGAACGGGUGAGUAAUGCAUCGGAACGUGCCCAGUCGUGGGGGAUAACGCAGCGAAAGCUGCGCUAAUACCGCAUACGAUCUAUGGAUGAAAGCGGGGGACCGUAAGGCCUCGCGCGAUUGGAGCGGCCGAUGUCAGAUUAGGUAGUUGGUGGGGUAAAGGCUCACCAAGUCAACGAUCUGUAGCUGGUCUGAGAGGACGACCAGCCACGCUGGGAAUUAGACACGCUCCAGUCUCCUACGGGAGGCAGCAGUGGGGAAUUUUGGACAAUUGGCGCAAGCCUGAUCCAGCAAUGCCGCGUGCAGGAAGAAGGCCUUCGGGUUGUAAACUGCUUUUGUACGGAACGAAAAGGCUCUGGAUAAUACCUGGGGCUCAUGACGGUACCGUAAGAAUAAGCACCGGCUAACUACGUGCCAGCCGCCGCCGUAAAAC